rnacentral:rRNA from 1 species
AUCAAACCGGGAGAUAGCUGGUUCUCCCCGAAAGCUAUUUAGGUAGCGCCUCGUGAAUUCAUCUCCGGGGGUAGAGCACUGUUUCGGCUAGGGGGCCAUCCCGGCUUACCAACCCGAUGCAAACUGCGAAUACCGGAGAAUGUUAUCACGGGAGACACACGGCGGGUGCUAACGUCCGUCGUGAAGAGGGAAACAACCCAGACCGCCAGCUAAGGUCCCAAAGUCAUGGUUAAGUGGGAAACGAUGUGGGAAGGCCCAGACAGCCAGGAUGUUGGCUUAGAAGCAGCCAUCAUUUAAAGAAAGCGUAAUAGCUCACUGGUCGAGUCGGCCUGCGCGGAAGAUGUAACGGGGCUAAACCAUGCACCGAAGCUGCGGCAGCGA